UGAAUACGAGAUGCUACGGCGUCGAAGCAGUGUAUGUCAGACUUCCAAGAAAAGCUCGCAAUGUCAUAAAUAAAGAAUGCCUGUACCAUAACCGACACAGGUGGGUAGGUAGAGUAUACUAAGGGACGCGAGAUAACUCUCUCUAAGGAACUCGGCAAAAUAACUCCGUAACUUCGGGAGAAGGAGUGCCUUCUUUAAGAAGGUUGCAAUAACAAGAUCCAAGCAACUGUUUAUCAAAAACACAGGUCUCCGCUAAGUCGUAAGACGAUGUACGGGGGCUGACGCCUGCCCAGUGCCAGAAGGUUAAAGAAGUUGGUUAGCUUUUGCGAAGCUGAUGACUGAAGCCCUGGUGAACGGCGGCCGUAACAAUAACGGUCCUAAGGUAGCGAAAUUCCUUGUCGGGUAAGUUCCGACCCGCACGAAAGGCGUAAUGAUUUGGAUACUGUCUCGGAGAGGGACUCGGUGAAAUAGACUUGUCUGUGAAGAUGCGGACUACCUGCACCAGGACAGAAAGACCCUAUGAAGCUUUACUGUAACUUGAAAUUGAAAUUGGACUUUAUUUGCGCAGUAUAGGCGGAAGGCGUUGAAAGUAAUCUUGCGGGAUUAGUGGAGCCAUCAGUGAGAUACCACUCCUAUAAUGUUAGAUUUCUAACUUUGGAUCAUGAUCUGGUCAAAGAACAGUUUCAGGCGGGCAGUUUGACUGGGGCGGUCGCCUCCCAAAUCGUAACGGAGGCGUACAAAGGUUUCCUCUGAACGGGUAGAAAUCGUAUCUAGAGUGUAAAGGCAUAAGGAAGCUUGACUGUGAGACCUACAAGUCGAGCAGGGACGAAAGUCGGUCUUAGUGAUCUGACGGUGCUGAGUGGAAAGGCCGUCACUCAACGGAUAAAAGUUACUCUAGGAUAACAGGCUGAUCUCCCCCAAGAGUUCACAUCGACGGGGAGGUUUGGCACCUCGAUGUCGGCUCAUCGCAUCCUGGGGCGGUAGUACGUCCCAAGGGUUGGGCUGUUCGCCCAUGAAAGCGGUACGCGAGCUGGGUUCAGAACGUCGUGAGACAGUUCGGUCCAUAUCCGGUGUAGGCGUUAGAAUAUUGAGAGGAGCCUUCUUUAGUACGAGAGGACCGAGAAGGACAUACCUCUGGUGUACCAGUUAUCGUGCCAACGGUAAACGCUGGGUAGCUAUGUAUGGAGAGGAUAACCGCUGAAAGCAUCUAAGUGGGAAGCCCACCUCAAGAUGAGUAUUACC
rnacentral:rRNA from 1 species